rnacentral:rRNA from 1 species
AUGGCGGACAGCGGCGGGGUCAGCGCCAACAACGCCGCCGCCGGCAACGACGACGAGGAGGGCAACACCGCCCCGUUCCCCGAGACGGUCCAGAUAGGAGGAUCUCCCGAGUACAGGGUCGAGAGGAAGCUCGGCAAAGGCGGCUUUGGCCACGUCUUUGUCGGCCGCCGCCUAACCGGUGGCAACGGCCGCGGCGCCGGUGCUCACGAGGUUGCAAUCAAAUUCGAGCACAACACCAGCAAGGGCUGCAACUACGGCCCUCCAUACGAGUGGCAUGUCUAUUCUGCUCUUGGAGGUACUCAUGGUGUGCCCAAGGUGCAUUAUAAAGGCCGGCAGGGUGACUACUAUGUCAUGAUCAUGGAUAUGCUGGGGCCUAGCUUGUGGGAUUCCUGGAAUUCAGCAGGGCAGACCAUGUCAUCAGAAAUGGUAGCUUGUAUUGCUGCAGAGGCCAUUUCUAUCCUGGAAAGCAUGCAUUCUAAAGGAUAUGUACAUGGAGACGUCAAACCUGAGAAUUUUCUUCUCGGUCAGCCUGGAACUCCUCAAGAAAAGAAACUUUUUCUUGUAGAUCUUGGAUUAGCAACAAAGUGGAAAGAUCCUGCUACUCAACAGCAUGUUGAUUAUGAUCAACGUCCGGAUGCCUUCAGAGGAACAGUCAGGUAUGCUAGUGCCCAUGCGCAUUUAGGAAGAACUGCAAGCAGGAGAGAUGACUUGGAAUCACUGGCUUAUACACUAGUAUUUCUCCAUCGAGGCAGGUUGCCAUGGCAAGGAUACCAGGGUGAUAAUAAAUCAUUUCUGGUGUGCAAGAGAAAGAUGAGUACCUCACCUGAUAUCCUUUGCGGCCUCUGUCCUCAACCUUUUAAGCUAUUUCUUGAGACUGUAGUCAACAUGAAGUUUGAUGAGGAACCAAACUACUCCAAGUUGAUUUCUUUGUUCGAUGUUCUAAUUGGACCAAACCCUUCCAUCAGACCAAUCAAUACCGAUGGAGCCCAAAAGGUAGGGCAGAAGCGUUCUAGGCUGCUUAAUGACGACGACGAUAGCAAUGCAAGAAAGAAGAUUCGCCUGGGUGUUCCAGCAACACAGUGGAUUUCAGUGUAUAAUUCUAGAUCACCCAUGAAACAGAGGUACCACUAUAAUGUGGCUGACAAUAGGUUAGCGCCACACGUGGAGAAAGGAAAUGAGGAUGGUCUGCUGAUAAGCUCAAUAUCAUCAUGUGUUGAUCUUUGGGCAAUCAUCAUGGAUGCUGGAACUGGCUUCACGGAUCAAGUCUAUGAGCUGUCUCCACAUUUCCUUCACAAGGACUGGAUUAUGGAACAAUGGGAGAAAAAUUUCUACAUCAGUUCUGUUGCUGGCGCCAAUAUCGGAAGCUCUCUUGUAGUGAUGUCCAAAGGCACACCAUACACGCAGCAGUCCUACAAGGUGAGCGAUUCCUUCCCGUUUAAAUGGAUAAACAAGAAGUGGAAGGAAGGCUUCUACGUGACGUCGAUGGCGACAUCAGGCAGCCGAUGGGCCAUAGUCAUGUCGCGCAACGCUGGGUUCACCGACCAGGUGGUGGAGCUGGACUUUCUGUACCCGAGCGAGGGCGUCCACCGGCGGUGGGACAACGGGUACCGGAUCACGGCGAUGGCGGCGACCGUGGACCAGUCGGCCCUGAUCCUGAGCAUGCCGAGGCGCCGGCCUCGGGACGAGACGCAGGAGACCCUGCGCACGUCGCAGUUCCCCAGCGCGCAUGUCAAGGACAAGUGGGCCAAGAACCUCUACCUCGCCGGGAUCUGCUACGGGCGAACGGUGGCGUAG